rnacentral:ncRNA from 1 species
UAUAUGGGGUGCUGAUGGAAUCGGCUGAGAUAAGGUUUAUGAACCUUGACCUGGAACCUGAUUUGGAUAAUGCCAACGUAGGGAUAUGAUUCUGU